CAUUCACGGAGAGUUUGAUCCUGGCUCAGGACGAACGCUGGCGGCGUGCUUAACACAUGCAAGUCGAACGGUGAAGCCCUUCGGGGUGGAU
rnacentral:rRNA from 2 species